rfam:Schistosoma mansoni, Puerto Rico, WGS project CABG01000000 data, contig: 0193
AGGCUUCUGUAUCCGUGAUGAGGUUUCGUCACACACCACACCACAAAGACUGAUGAGGCUCCCACGAGCAUUUGACACG